rnacentral:rRNA from 1 species
UACAGAGGUGUCAAGCGUUGUUCGGAUUCAUUGGGCGUAAAGGGUGCGUAGGUGGCGUGGUAAGUCGGGUGUGAAAUUUCGGAGCUUAACUCCGAAACUGCAUUCGAUACUGCCGUGCUUGAGGACUGGAGAGGAGACUGGAAUUUACGGUGUAGCAGUGAAAUGCGUAGAGAUCGUAAGGAAGACCAGUGGCGAAGGCGGGUCUCUGGACAGUUCCUGACACUGAGGCACGAAGGCCAGGGGAGCAAACGGG